CUUAGUGAUCAAAAAACAUAAUUAAUCCACAUUUCUUCCUUGAGGAAUAUAGACAGGAAUUUAAUAAUACAGGUUUUACUGUAUGUGACAACUCAAAAUAGAUUUGCAUUAAAGGAGGAAGGAGAACAUUGACAUGUUAAUUCUUCUAAGAGUACAUACCUUCAAAUUUAACAUAAGAGCAAAUAAGCAACUACAAUGCCCUGCACCUAGAAGUGGAAAAUCAAGUUGUGACCUCAAUCUUCUGCUCCAUAUACUGUGUUCCCGAAGGGCAAAAUCGUGCCACGUGGUAGCUGAUGACCUAAUUUGAGCAUCUUUCCCCCUCCUCACUCCUGGCCCAGUUUGAGAUCAGAGAUGAUAUAAAAAAAGGAAAAAAAAAAAAAAAAAGUGAUGCUCAAAGCCCUAAUACUCAUAAAUAGGGUCCUUCAAUAUACUAAAACAGAGUUUCCCUUAAAUCUUACAGGAGUCAUGAUUUAUAGGAAAUCAAAAUAUGAACAAAUUUGCCUUUGUGUCCCCUUUAUUAACAUGUUACCAUUUUGAUAAUGUGGCUGUAUUUAAACACAUAAAUUCAUUAUGCCUAUUAAUAAGACGUGAUUUCAAAGAAUCAAUCAGAAACCUUAAAAUUACAUGUUACCUUCUAUACAGAUUCAGAAGUCUGUCAACAAGAUAAUUACCAAUAUCGUGUCUGAUCCAACCUUCCUGGGACUCACUCUAACGAAAUUGAAACCUUCAUUGGGAAAACAGAAGUCGUGAAUCAAAGACAUGUGCUCACUUGAAAACGAACUGGAUAACACUGUUUGCCAUAUUUGUUCAUUAUUCUCCAAACCCUCCAUUUAAUAAAAUUUCAAACUAGCCUAAUCAACUUACUUAUCAUCUUCUUGAAGAAAGUGGUUAGGUAAAGAGGAAUAGGCCCCCUUUCCAGGCUCUAGUCACUCAGGCAUAUAGACCCCCACGUCAAGACAAAACAAGGUUUUUGAGAAAAAAUUAACCAUUAAGACAUGGAUGAACCUACUACAUGCCGAAGACACGUGCAUCUUAAGGCCAAACAAGCCAUUUACUGAAUGUGCUGGCUCUCCCAAUAUUAAAAUCCAGUAAGAGACAAGACCUACUGGAAGAGUUUGCCUUGGCAAACGCAAAGCUAUAUACACUGUGUUUAAUAAAUAACGUUGCCUAAUUUUUUGUGUACCUAUUGACCUAGUCAUUCACUCACCAAUUAUUUAUCAAAAUCUACCACGAUGACUUGGCCGUGUGGCGGGAGCCUCAGUCCUGCCAUCUGGCAGGGGAGACGGGAGGCACAGAGGAAGGUGGUGUUGCACACAGAUGCACGAAGACGCCUGGAAUCUCAGCUAAAUCAUGUCUCUCUAGCAUUCAUUUCUUCCUGUUCAGCUCUUAUAGUAACCACCUGUCUGCAUUGUAAACUAAUGUCUGUGAGGUAAUAAAAGAUAGGUAAUGAACUAAGGUGCUGGUGAGGGCCCCCACAAUCUCCACCAGCAGCCUGGACGGACAACCGAUUCCCUUCUUUCUGCCUUAAUCUGAUCCAGCACACCAAACCCUUAAAAGUGACACUUAUCUCUACAUGGAGGCCUUUAGUCUGUUUCCUCAGCAUUGGAUGAUGGGUGCUUACCCUGGGAUAUCUCAUGGAAACAAAGCAUUAAAUGAGAACGACUGGGAAAUACGUGUUCUCAAAAGAGGGAGUAUCCAGUUAUAAAUGAUCACUCCCAUGACUACUCCUCGUUAAGUGCCGAUUGGAUGUGCUUCUAACAAACUGGUCCCUGCAAAGGUCCCGUAAGGAACUUUUAUUAAUCAAAGGGAGAGAUGCCAUCCACAAUGACAGAAUAAUUUGAUAAUUAGAUAACAGAGUUAUGUGGAGUGUGUGGGAAGAGUCCAGGUGGAGAAACACCUAGAUCUGGAGCAGUCAGGGCAGGGUUCAGGAGGCAGAGUUUGCAUGGGCAUUUAUUUGCACAUCUGGCAGACAGAUAAGCAGAAAAGGCCAGCAGAGGCGCAGAGGUAUGGGUGGCCCCAGAUAUUCCUGAAGUCGAAGUACAAAGAGGUGGCUAAAGCAGAAACAGGGUGACAGCAUCCACGCCACACAAGGUUUGACCAUAUAGGUGGCUGAGGACGACACUGAGUGGGGGUCUGGGGGCACUAUGAAAGACAGGAGAGGUACACAGAGGGGUCAGGACGAAGGCCCAGGAAGAGAACCCAUGGGCCAGGGGCAGUGAGAACAGGCAGAAAAGGAUGCGUGUGUUUAUAAGGCUGAACGGCGGGGGGGACUUAGUGGACCAGGUGGAUCAAGGGGAGCCCAGGAAGAGCCACAAGCUUGCAGCUGGGACGUAACACAAGAGGAGUCGAUUUGGGCCUGGAAAGGAGAGUAAGGGCAGAGCGAGGGGAGGAGUCUGGUGUGGGACACAGUGAAGAAAGCGGAAAGACAUUCUCUGACGCUCUUCUCUUCAUUCUCCAGAAAGGGUCUACUCUAAACUCACCUGCUUUGUAACACUUUCCAAAUUCAAUUGUCCACCAUGUCAUUUUCCCAAGGAGCCAUCAGCUCUGUAUCUGCUCCUGUCCUGAAUGCUGCCCUCAACACGAGUGUACUAACCCACCCUUCCUGGUUGUACCCAGUGAACAGUAAAGCCAUGGUAAUCUGUAUAAUCUUACAAGAGAUUUUUUUUUAAUUGUCAUCCAUGUCAUCAAUUAUUACCUUAAACUUAUUAUAACCUUUUUGUGUUCCUUUUGUUAUUUAUUUUUACUAAAAGAAUGAAUAGUUACCACAGUUUCGAAACUACAUGCAAUUUUUUCUAUUCUAGGUAGCUAUGGCAUUUAUUUACAUGGAACAUUUCAAGCUCAGCAAAGCAGUGUUUAGACUUUUAAAAUUACCCAAGCUGACUCUCUUUGAGGUGGAGGUGAUCAUGAGUGCAAGAGGCAAGAGGCAUGUUCCGGAAGCUAAGAAAAUAGCAAAGGUGUUGAUCCUGACAGAGCUGAGCUACUGAACGUCAGAACAGCUUUUUAGCUCUUGUAUGAUUAAGUGAUCAAGGUCAUUCCCUUGGUUACCAGCAGAACCAAGGCUACACCCCCCAGGCUCUUGGAAUCCAGGUCAGCUCCAGUGCCAUUUUGGCAAAGAACGCCAACACCACUUACUUCAUUAAGAAUAUAAACACAAGGUUGAAAAAUUCACAUUGUCAUUUCGGCUGGGAGAGAGAGCAGCACUAUUUGCCUCCCCACAUUGCAUUUACCUUCAGCAGCCAGCUCAGAUGGAGGGAAAGGAAGUCGAAGAUUUCGAAGCAACCCUUUGGCAGUCAGUCGUACGUGAAUGGUGGAUAAGGAGAAUUUGGGAGACAACAACAUGUCUUCAGAGCAGGUGAAAAGAUUUCGCAGAAGAAACAGCUUCCAGGCACGGUCACAUACUGUGUUUUUAAACUCGGUACUCUUCAAAGCCAAGAAAUAACAGCGGGAGAAAACAUGCCUACAUAGCAAAUGUCAUUCCACUGCACAUACACAAAAGAAAAAAAAAAACCCCAAGCUCUCCAAGGGUUCCUGGCUUCUGUUUUCACUUCCAGAUGUUGUCCAAACAAUACUCUUCGCCUGAAUAAAAUCUCCUCUUAGUGGAUCCAGCAGCAAGCAGCCUCUCAAUUACAUCACACUGUACAUGCUAAAGGGCUUGUUAUGGUUUUCAUCAGGGAUGGUAAAGGGGAGGAGAAAGUGGGUGGUCUUAGGAGCUUUAUAUAACAACCAAUAAUGUCACGGAUUCUCUAACUACUUGAGAGAUUGGUGAGGGAAAUUAACUACUUUGAGUACCUAAUGUUUAUUUGGGAAUAAGGAGAAAAUUAACAUUUCAUUACACUCAUCUAUAUUGAUUAAAAUUUUUUAAAUUACA